rnacentral:rRNA from 1 species
UACGGAGGGUGCAAACGUUGCUCGGAAUCAUUGGGCGUAAAGCGCACGUAGGCGGUUUGCCAAGUCGGAUGUGAAAGCCCUGGGCUCAACCCAGGAAGUGCAUUCGAAACUAGCAGACUUGAGUAUGGAAGAGGGUCGCGGAAUUCCCGGUGUAGAGGUGAAAUUCGUAGAUAUCGGGAGGAACACCAGUGGCGAAGGCGGCGACCUGGGCCAAUACUGACGCUGAGGUGCGAAAGCGUGGGGAGCAAACAGG